AGUUGCUAGAAAACCAGCUUCUUCUAUCAGUGUUCAUCUGCUCAGCUCACAAUGUCCGGAGGGGAUGGUUCAUUUUCUACUACGAUUCUCAUCUUGCUAGCCAUUGCCGGCAUUGGAUUAUAUCUCCUUUUUGUAGCUGCCAUUGCUGGUUUGUGGAGGGUUUAUCAACACCUACGAGCCGCUCGGAUACUCAGAAAGCGAGGCACUGAGUCAACAUUUGACUCAGCUGUCUCGCUGCAACACGCUGAACAACAGUGCAGCGUGUGUGCCUAUGAGUUCCAAACCGGAGACAUACUCCAUAACUUGGCAUGCGGCCAUGCAUUUCAUAAAAAAUGCAUGCGCGACUAUUUAUUAAAAUCGUCGGGUGAUACCUGCCCAAAUUGCCGCGCAAAGAUUUGAUAUACCCUUUCUUCCUCAUUACAUGCUUCAGAGGGAGGAUGAAGACUUAUCAUCUUGGUGAUUUUGAUAAUGGUUUUGCUUGCAUUAGAAUAAUAAUGAGUUGGUGAAGCUCUUUCCCAGAAUAACAAACUUGCUGUUAAGAGAGGAAGUUGGAUCCUAAUGGAGGAUGAUAUAGGGGAGUAUUUGAGAAUGAAACGGUUUAAAGUUUGGUUUUUAUGAAAUUUUAGU